AACGAACGCUGGCGGCAUGCCUAACACAUGCAAGUCGAACGAGACCUUCGGGUCUAGUGGCGCACGGGUGCGUAACGCGUGGGAACCUGCCCUUAGGUUCGGAAUAACUCCCCGAAAGGGGUGCUAAUACCGGAUAAUGUCUUCGGACCAAAGAUUUAUCGCCUUUGGAUGGGCCCGCGUUGGAUUAGCUAGUCGGUAGGGUAAAAGCCUACCAAGGCGACGAUCCAUAGCUGGUCUGAGAGGAUGAUCAGCCACACUGGGACUGAGACACGGCCCAGACUCCUACGGGAAGCAGCAGUGGGGAAUAUUGGACAAUGGGCGAAAGCCUGAUCCAGCAAUGCCGCGUGAGUGAUGAAGGCCUUAGGGUUGUAAAGCUCUUUUACCCGGGAUGAUAAUGACAGUACCGGGAGAAUAAGCUCCGGCUAACUCCGUG
rnacentral:rRNA from 1 species